GGGGGGGGGGGGGGGGGGGGGGGGGGGGGGGAGGGCGGGGGGGGGGGGGGGGGGGGGGGGGGCGGGCGGGGGGGGGGGGGGGGAGGGGGGGGGGAUGCGGCGGGAGCUGCUUGUUCGGGGGGGAUAAGGUAGGGGAGGUUACGCUGAUACCGCAGAGGACCUACGGGGGGAAGCAGGGGAGCUUCGGACCUUGGGCGAUUGACUGAGCCGAUGUCGGAUUAGCUAGUUGGCGGGGGAAAGGCCGACCAAGGCGACGAUCUGUAGCUGGUCUGAGAGGAUGAUCAGCCACACUGGAGCUGAGACACGGUCCAGACUCCUACGGGAGGCAACAGUGGGGAAUAUUGGGCAAUGGGCGCAAGCCUGAGCCAGCCAUACCGCGGGGGUGAAGAAGCACCUCGGGUUGUAAAGCCCUUUUGUUGGGAAAGAAAAGCAGCUGGUUAAUACCCCGCUGUUCUGACGGUACCCAAAGAAUAAGCACCGGCUAACUUCGUG
rnacentral:rRNA from 1 species